UAGCUGUACUUGUAAGAAUGGCCAUAAUGUAAAAUUCAUCCGUAUAAUUUUCAGGGACAGGUUACCCCAGUGUGCCCAUUCACCGUGGAGGAUGGGGGGCCAAGGCAGGCAAGGAAGCAGGGACGGGACCACCCAGUGUGUCAGCCAAUCUCGGACCGGGGGCCAGUGCAGAAAAGGGGGCAGGUGUUGCUGGAGGCCCUUAUGAUGGACAGAGUCCGAGCGCUGGACUACCUGCCGGAGACAAGUCCUCCAAAUAUGGUGAGCAGGAGCGAGCGUGUGAGACGUUCGCUGUGUUUCGAAAUGCUGACAGGAGUGAAAACCGCGAUCAAUGGUCACAAAUUUUACAGGGAAUGAAUUUGCUUCGUUACUCAUUGAGGCUUUUUCAGGCUUGGUAUUCACCACGAUUUCCGUUCUUUUUUUCUUUCUAAAAAGCUGCCGGUUACAGUUCAGUCGGCUCAGUGCUUCUAAAUGAAAUAUUUAAAAUGGGAGCGACGUCAAAUUAUUCCGUUUGCGAAUUGGCCUCGGUGUCAAGUGCAUCAUUUCUCCGUGAGUCUGUUUUUCGGCUGAUUUCACGCGUAUUUCUUAGCGACUAACCAGGUUAUCCAAGUGUAGAGAGUUUAACUAACAGGCCUUCCUGGGAUUUAAACCCCUUCAAGUUGCAAGGCUGGGUCCUUAACCGCUCUCCUACCUGAUGCGGAUCACCGCCGUGCCUGUCUCUGCAGCGGGGGCUGGAAACGGUGUGGCUCCGGGUUCGACUCCAGGUGCCACUCCUGCACAGCUGCCCUUUGGGGGCCGACCUGUGGUUCCUGCUGGGUUGGGACCUGAUGGCAAGGCGGGCACCUACAGCACGGGGCAGCUGCCCUACGGGGGA
rnacentral:lncRNA from 1 species